UGGGGAAUAUUGGACAAUGGGCGCAAGCCUGAUCCAGCCAUGCCGCGUGAGUGAUGAAGGCCUUAGGGUUGUAAAGCUCUUUUACCAGGGAAGAUAAUGACGGUACCUGGAGAAUAAGCCCCGGCUAACUUCGUGCCAGCAGCCGCGGUAAUACGAAGGGGGCUAGCGUUGCUCGGAAUCACUGGGCGUAAAGCGCACGUAGGUGGGUCGUUAAGUCGGGGGUGAAAUCCUGGAGCUCAACUCCAGAACUGCCUUCGAUACUGGCGAUCUUGGAGUCCGGGAGAGGUGAGUGGAACUGCGAGUGUAGAGGUGAAAUUCGUAGAUAUUCGCAAGAACACCAGUGGCGAAGGCGGCUCACUGGCCCGGUACUGACACUGAGGUGCGAAAGCGUGGGGAGCAAACA
rnacentral:rRNA from 1 species